UACGGGGGGGGCAAGCGUUGUUCGGAAUUACUGGGCGUAAAGGGCUCGUAGGUGGCCAACUAAGUCAGACGUGAAAUCCCUCAGCUUAACUGGGGAACUGCGUCUGAUACUGGAUGGCUUGAGUUUGGGAGAGGGAUGCGGAAUUCCAGGUGUAGCGGUGAAAUGCGUAGAUAUCUGGAGGAACACCGGUGGCGAAGGCGGCAUCCUGGACCAGCACUGACACUGAUGAGCGAAAGCCAGGGGAGCAAACGGG
rnacentral:rRNA from 1 species